rnacentral:lncRNA from 1 species
UGCUAUCCAGAUCGUUAUUACACACAGCGUGUCAAAAAAACGGUAUUAAUAAUUAUAUUUAGAUGAAAGUCAAAAAAACGGUAUUAAAAAUGAUAUUUAGAUGAAAUUCAAAUUAGUUUAAUGCAUCGAACGCACUGCGUCUCCCAUGGGUUAGGAAUAAGGCAGAAAGAACACAUAUGCGGUACAGGGCUUUUUCAAGCAUUAACACUAAUUGAAUUUCAUUAAAAUAUAAUUUAUAUAUCAAAGUCUAUAGUCUUUUAAAAUUAUUUAACGUUAUCGUGAUUAAUAGAAAAUAACCAUGGUUUGGAAGCUUGACAAAAGUCACUGUUCUAUAUAUGUUGGUGUACGCUGAAAAUUUGUGCACUCGGAUUAUGUAUAACGAAACGAUUGUCCAAUUGAAAAGCAACUUCUGUGGCUAAACAUUAAUAUUUUAAUAUUAUAUCAACGCAAGAUAACAUUUGUGCACUCGGAAUCUCGUUUACCCAGAUUUCAACAUCAGUUAAAGUUUGAGUAAGUGACUCUUUGAAGUUUACCGGCCUUCCAAACCAUGGUCGUUAUUUUGUAUCAACUAUGUUUUUACUUUCUCCCGCUGCCACCUUUUCGAUCAGGCGCAUAUUUUAAAAUUUUUUUAUUGCCUGGCACACGUCGUCCUCCGUUCCUGUAUGAUUUUUCAG